CCUACGGGGGGCUGCAGUCGAGAAUCUUCCGCAAUGGACGAAAGUCUGACGGAGCGACGCCGCGUGAUUGAUGAAGCUUUUCGGAGUGUAAAGAUCUUUUAUGAGGGAAGAAGUUUAUUGACGGUACCUCAUGAAUAAGGGGCUCCUAAUCUCGUGCCAGCAGGAGCGGUAAUACGAGAGCCCCGAGCGUUAUCCGGAAUUAUUGGGCGUAAAGGGUGCGUAGGUGGUAGUGUUAGUCGUUUGUUAAAUCUCUGGGCUUAACCCAGAAACCGCGAACGAAACGGCACAACUAGAGAGUGUGAGGGGUAUAGGGAACUAAUAGUGUAGGGGUGAAAUCCGUUGAUAUUAUUGGGAACACCAAAAGCGAAGGCACUAUACUAGCACAUAUCUGACACUCAAGCACGAAAGCGUGGGUAGCGAAUGGGCUUAGAUACCCUAGUAGUC
rnacentral:rRNA from 1 species